rnacentral:lncRNA from 1 species
UAUUCAUAUUAACAGCCAUGAAUAAUGAACAAGCUUAACAACACAGAAAUAGUCUCAAUGAAUAGACCACAAUCAAACCAGAACUGGCAUGAAACAUGUACGACACUUAGAACAGAGAAAGUGUUACCCUCCUUCUUCGCGACCGGAGAAGAACGGCCUUCAACCACCGGAUGAAACUAAGUCCGGUCACCGGAGAUUGCAAAACGGAAACUUACCAGAAUAAGGUUACAGACGUCGGAAGCUUACCCAAAACGUCUAUCGACCGAAGGCAAAAUCAUCGGAUAACAUCAAAACCCCUGGUCCGAAAGUCGGAAAACCCUAGAAUUUGGAGAACUCAUCGGAAUAAGACCAGAGAUGUCGGAAAAUCACCCAAAACAUCUACUGAUACAUGAUCGGAGCCUCAAACAGUCAGAAAAGUCUCGAUUAUCCGAUUAACAUUCAUCGAAAAAUAUAUGAAUAGUAUUUUUCUCAGAUAACCGAAGAAAAACUUCAGCAAAAGCUUCAGCAAGUAUCGAUAACACAUAACAAAGAAGGAUCGGAAAAUUUUCCUGCUCUGAUACUAUGAAAACAUGGAGAUUUGAAGAUGAAAACCAGAGAAGAUGAAGAUGAACAGGAAGAGACAGAGAGAGAGAAAUGAGAAGCUUCUGGAGGAACCGAGAAGCCAAAC